GGGUCAGGAGGUUGGUCGUGCCACCGGUACGUACUGGUCUCACUGAUUCCUCCUUCCUGAAGAACCGUAAUGCCAUUAAUUUGGUGUUGCGGGGAAACAGGACUGUUACUUUGAAAAAAUUAGAGUGUUUAAAGCAAGCUAACGCUUGAAUACAUUAGCAUAGAAUAAUGAAAUAGGACGAUCGAUCCUAUUUUGUUGGUUUCUAGGAUUGACGUA
rnacentral:rRNA from 1 species